rnacentral:rRNA from 1 species
CCUACGGGAGGCAGCAGCAGGGAAUCUUGCGCAAUGGGCGAAAGCCUGACGCAGCAACGCCGCGUGGGGGAUGAAGGCCUUCGGGUUGUAAACCCCUUUCAGGAGGGAAGAAAUUGACGGUACCUCCAGAAGAAGGACCGGCCAACUACGUGCCAGCAGCCGCGGUAAUACGUAGGGUCCGAGCGUUAUCCGGAAUCAUUGGGCGUAAAGAGCUCGUAGGCGGUUCAGCAAGUCGGCUGUGAAAGUCCGAGGCUCAACCUCGGAAUUGCAGUCGAUACUGCUGUGACUCGAGUCCGGUAGAGGAGAAUGGAAUUCCCGGUGUAGCGGUGAAAUGCGCAGAUAUCGGGAGGAACACCAGUAGCGAAGGCGGUUCUCUGGGCCGGCACUGACGCUGAGGAGCGAAAGCGUGGGGAGCAAACAGGAUUAGAUACCCUUGUAGUC